rnacentral:rRNA from 1 species
AUUGAACGCUGGCGGCAGGCCUAACACAUGCAAGUCGAGCGGAUGAAGGGAGCUUGCUCCUGGAUUCAGCGGCGGACGGGUGAGUAAUGCCUAGGAAUCUGCCUGGUAGUGGGGGAUAACGUCCGGAAACGGGCGCUAAUACCGCAUACGUCCUGAGGGAGAAAGUGGGGGAUCUUCGGACCUCACGCUAUCAGAUGAGCCUAGGUCGGAUUAGCUAGUAGGUGGGGUAAAGGCCUACCAAGGCGACGAUCCGUAACUGGUCUGAGAGGAUGAUCAGCCACACUGGAACUGAGACACGGUCCAGACUCCUACGGGAGGCAGCAGUGGGGAAUAUUGGACAAUGGGCGAAAGCCUGAUCCAGCCAUGCCGCGUGUGUGAAGAAGGUCUUCGGAUUGUAAAGCACUUUAAGUUGGGAGGAAGGGCAGUAAGUUAAUACCUUGCUGUUUUGACGUUACCAACAGAAUAAGCACCGGCUAACUUCGUG